UAAAGUCGGAGGCAAAACAACCAGCAUGUUCUAGACAGUAUUUACCCCAUGGUUUUGUGGACAGUGAGGACAGAAAUGGAAAAAUUUUAUUGGGCUCAUGGAGAGCCUCUGUGGAGAAUGCACAAGGCUUAAAGUCAAUUGGGAGACAAGGCUCAAAUUUUUAUAAGAAAGAUGCCUCAGAAGUACGAGAUCAAUUUAAAGAGUAUUUCAUAAAACCAGAGGGUGAAGUUCCAUGGCAGCAAAAUCAUAUAUCUUUUAAUGGGAACCUUGAAUGACUUUGAUUUAUUCUUUCAACAUUCUUUUCCUCUUUGCAUGGGUAUUUUUCAUUCUUACAAGUUUAACUAUUGCUAAUGUAAACUCAGAUUUUUUCUCUAAAGCAAAUGACAUUUUAAGUAAAUUUUAUUAAAUUAGAUGUAGUUUAUGUUAAUAUAGUUUG